CUUCCUCGGGGUGCAGAUGGGAUGUGCUUCUCCAUAGGAGGCCCCAUGGCUUCCCCACCCCUCAGAGGAGCGCAGUGCGAAUGUGUGGAGGAUUUGCAGCUCCUGCAGGCUGCCCUUGGUCUACUUGGCGACGCCUGCCUUCCCUUAAUUAUACAGUCAUGAGCCGCCUGGAAUCACGGCAGCUCCCGAUGGAGCCUGGAUGCACAGGGCUGCGGCACAGGAGUGCGCGAGGGGCUGCAGAGCCGGAGGCUGCGGUGGGCACCAUGGAGGAAGCUGCCCUGGGCAGCAUGGGCAGGGUCUCAAGGCCCAGGUUUGAGUAACAGGUGUUGAGAGCUUACUUACUUUUCCUGAGACACAGUUUCCUCAUCUCGAGAGCACGGAAAAUCAUUCCAAUUUCAGAGGAUUGUUGUGAAAGUUAAAUGAAUUAAAGAGGUAAAGCCCAUACAUCCUUAGCUCAUGCUUGGCUCUCUGUCAAUGCCAGUUAGCGCUGCAUUUUCUCCCCUCUCCCUCCCUCCUUCUCUCUUUCUUUUCUUCUGUUCUCCAUUUCUGUUUUCUCUCCCACCCCACUCCCCAAAGCUCUGCAUUGAGAACCAGAUGCUGUCUGGUGGGUUAGGACCAGAGGAGGAAAAGCUGCCUGCGUGGGCUGCACCAUACCCUCUUCAUUCCAAUGACAUGAGGGGAGUCAUGACCCUCCCCAAUGACAUGACGGGAGGGAAAGGACAGAGGUAGACCGUCCUCCCCACCUCCUCCCAAUACAAAUGGAACUCCUGGAACUGGGAAAACAAAGAAUACCCCCAUAAAAUAAGACAGUACUUCUGCUGCAGUGUAAUAAAGGGGAAAGUAACCCUCAGUGUCAGGAAACUGCACCUCCCAGCUCAUAUUUGUGUGGAGGAAAGUUAAAUAUUAAAUUUGGACUCAGUUGAAUGUGGACACAAAGAAUGGUCACCAAGUCCCAGAACAGGUUGUGUGAGCCCCUUCAGGGGUUCAUCCGGCACUGUUUCGGAGAAAUCUCUAUUUCAAUUUAUUCCUAUACGUUAGUUAUUGAAAACAACAGACAAUCACAAAAGCAAGUUGCCCUUUUUUGUGUUCCUUGAGCCCAGUCACGAAGUGCCCUCAUGACUGGGCCUCAUGACAAACACCUGUAACAAGUAACAACAGAGCUAGGGGUCCCAGACCGCACUGAAGCUUCGUGAGACCCCUCCUCAUCUGUGCACGAAUGAGUGUCCGACUCUGAGCCCAGCCUGCUGCUUCCCAGUCUGGUGGUGAAUUCUCCGUAGUCUGAUGGAGGUUUGCUCUUGUUGCCCAGGCUGGAGUGCAAUGCACAAUCUCGGCUCACUGCAACCUCCGCCUCCCAGGCUCAAGCAAUUCUCAUGCCUCAGCCUCCUGAGUAGAUGGGACUACAGGGCAUGGACUGGAACUCCCAAUAUCCCUGACAUGGGGCUAAGUCAGCGUGGUCAUGAACAUGUGACAGGAGGCAGCAGAAGUUGCAGAGAAGAGUGAGGCACGUUUGAAAAAGGCUGAAAAAUGUUUCUGUCCAGGCAAGGGUGUGUGCUGAAUGACUCAAGGAUUUUUUGGGCAACACAAACCAACAGGAGCCCUGUGAGGACCAGGUGACAGCCGCCCAAAAGCCGACACAAGGAACAAGCCUGGAGGAGCGAGGAUGGGUGCUGUGAAGGAGGGUGUGCAGCUGGGCCCGCAGUUGGACCUGGUGAGGUCAGAGGAGGGGGUGCCGUCAGUCUGUGGACGAAGAUGAGAAGCUGGAAGAGAGCAGAAAACAGGAGGCUGCCACUCUUCACCUUUCCCAAAGUCACUCCAGGA
rnacentral:lncRNA from 1 species